ensembl:lncRNA
GUUAGGUCAGGAGGAGGGGAUGGGGGGGCUGGUUGUCUGGGUAAUGUUAGGUCAGGAGGAGGGGAUGGGGGGGCUGGUUGUCUGGGUAAUGUUAGGUCAGGAGGAGGGGAUGGGGGGGUGCUGGUUCUCUGGGUAAUGUUAGGUCAGGAGGAGGAGAUGGGUGCUGGUUCUGGGUAAAAGGUCAGGAGGGGGCAGUGGAGGCACUACUGGAGGGUGGAGAGUUGAGGCUAUAAAGGAAGUCUGAAAGGUGUUCUGAAGACCAGGCGUAAUAUGAAGGACAGAUGGCUGCUCACCAUCGACAUCUAAAAUCUAUCCAGCCUCCAUUAGUCAAAACCAAUGUCUCACUAUAUGUACAGUAGAACUCUUAUUUAUGCCAGUGAGACAGUCAGCCUCUAGUUUGCACCCACAAUUGAGGACCCAUUUCAGGGCGCCCAUUGAUCAUCUCUGGUUUUUCAAUCUGUCACUUCCAUUGUUUGUUUCUAUUUGACACAUAAUCACAAUCUUUUUUUGAUACUAGAUCAAGGUAAUGUGAGUCUGUGAAACAUUGACACUUCUCCAUUGUAUCCAUAAGAUUUCAAUGGAGUUUGACCUUUCUGUCUUGGGUUUAUGGGCUGUAGAUUAUUGCACUAAAUUGUACAGAGCUUCUAAUCUAAAUACCCUUUCUCAUUUCACUUAAUUUUAAGACAGUUGCUAUUUUAAGGGAGAACCAUUCUAAGUGUUUUAUUUCUAUGCUUUGGAGCCCUAUGAUGCCAUUUGCUCUUUGGCUGAGGGUUCCAUUAACAAAUGAAGAAAGAGUGUGGUUGAAGUGAUGGAAAGAGUGUGGGUGUGUUCGUUUAGGAUGUAUGUGAAUAAAGGGCUUUAUUCAUUCUGGUGAAUAAGGCGGAGGCCAUUCGAAUUCCGCUAGAUUGGCAGGUCCAAGAAGGUCCCCUGUUUUUGAGAACCUUCUUACCAUAGGCACAUCUCUCCCACCCCGCAGUUGUUUUGGAAAAUAGUUAUUUUUGAAUGUUGAUGGUUCCACGCUGUGUCGAAUGUUGACAGCCCAUGCAAGUUGUUUUAAUUAAUGGGGGUAUUUAAUCAUAAGGUGAUUGAUUUCUGCUGGAACAGUCUUACAGAAGUGCUGUUUUUGAUGAGGUAAUGUCUAGUGUUGAAUGACAUGAGGAAAGGAGCAGUUGUGGAGCAGGUUUUCAGGUGUAAGGUGUUUGUUUCUACCUGGUCUGCACUACGACUGUCUCUGAACCAAGUCUACCCUGUUAGCGGACCACGUGUUUGCAGUACAAGUUCAAGUGGUUUCUUUUUUAAGAAAACACGCUAUCUGAUUUUUAAGUUCCUAGCUUUAAUAGCAUUCUUUUUUUCUUUACGAAAAUAUUGUAAUACAAAAAUUCUGCGUUUGUUUUGCUAGUGGUAAAACAAAGUUGAAUUUUAUAGUAAUUUAAUUUUGUUCCUGGGGGUGGUGAUUGCAAAUAUUUGUGAAAUGAAACGUUUUUUUCCACACGUUUCUUUGAGUGGUUGUGUGUGUUUGAGAUAAUUGUGAUGAAACGGAGGUAAAGGCCUUCUGUUGUAAAGGAGCUGUAUAUACUGUAACAUAUUGUAUAUUUCUUUUGGGGCUGCUGUGUGGAAACAAGGGUUACGGAUGGUUGGAGUGUUGCUAGCAGCCCAUAGUGUUAGUCUGUGUCUGAGCUAUUGUUGGCUUAAGCACACAGACAGCUAAAGUGAAGGUGUGGGAUGGCUGAUUGAAUACAAAGUUUAACUAAAUGAAAAAACAUAUUUAUUUGGAAUCAGUAUCAAAACCAAUCAGUUUUAAUGUAAUUUAGACUUGAACGAAAUGGCUUCUGACAGUAAAUUUUUGAUGUGAUUUAUCCUGUAUGAUUAUUUUGGUUCAUUCUCUUGAAUAAAACAAAUCAAGCAAA